rnacentral:tRNA from 1 species
GGGCGCAUAGCGCAGUGGUAGCGCGUCCGCUUUGCAAGCGGAAGGCCCCGGGUUCAAUCCCCGGUGUGUCAA